UGGGGUUUUCCGUGUUAUAACUCGAUGAAGUUACGAGCGAAAAUGCUACAUGACAGCUACCUUACAUUUUUUUUUUUUUUUACUAAACUACAUGCCACCAGUGCAGUUUUAUGUGUUAUAAAUUACUGAGGAAUAUCUUUAGAUAUAAAUGACGGAUUCUUAUGGGCUGCGUCGGAUGAUAUCAUUUAUGAUGAAAUGAUGAUAUCAUUUACUCCAUUUAGCAGCGCGUCAUGGCAACAAAAUAACGUUAAGCCAACAACAAAAAUACAAAGAGGCGACUUGAUAAAUUCACUGAAUUAGUUCCUUCGCUCUAACAGUCUACAAACCGAGACAGAUGGCAUGUAAGGCUGUUGCCCACCGGAGUGGCUUGCGAAACAACAGGAAUUUCAGGGAGGUAAUUUUUACAAGGUUCAGCAAAACUAGAGAGAGAACUUGCAUUGUUUUUGCAGUCUGCGAUUCCAUAACCUUGACCAACAUCGAAAUGAGGAUAAUUAUUACUACUGUUAUUCUUCUGUUUUGUGAGGAAUUUCUGAACUGCAACCAUAACAAAGACAGUGAAGUCUGGAAAGACUUUCACUGGAGAGUUAGACUUUGAACCCUGACAGCAGCUGACUUCACCUCAGUAAGGCUAUGCAACUCUGUUGUGUAACACUUAACUGACAAUCUGUACUCACAAAAAAAUUUCUAUAUAUAUUUUUUUCUGAACUGUGGAUUACUAUGCUGUUUAGAUGAAGAAAAUUUAUGGACUUUGCUUGCCUUAAAAUGGACACCAGCUUGGUAAGUGCAUUUUACUGAACAUUUGACCCAUGGGUCGGGAACCUAUGGCUCGCGAGCCACACCUGGCUCUUUGACAAAAAUCAUGUGGCUCGCCAGAUCUCUCACCCUUUACCAACAAAUGAUCCAUUACAAAAAUAACAGGACUGAAACAUAUACUUUGUUUUAUAGAAGAUGGUGUUCUCCUGUGCCAAGAACCAGUAUAAAACAUUUCGCCAGUUACUUUCGCUUUCAGUGUGUGGGACUAUUAGUAUUAAUAAAGGAACAUGAAUGAAUGAGACAGUAAAGAGCGGGACAUGCUUGAUAUUAAAAAGAUGGGCAGAAUUAAUUAAACUUAAAGCCACGAAACAGAACUCAAUCCGCUUCUGACUAGAUGUUGUCUCUCUCUCUCGCUCUCUGUCUCUCACACACACACACACACACACACACACACACACACACACACACACACACACACACACACACACACACACACACACACACACACAGAGACACAGACAGACAGAGAAUUCUCAAGAGAAUUCAUCCCCCUGUAAAUCAACCUCAAAGUAAAAGCCCUGCACAAUUUAUAAUGGAUAGCUGCAUAUUUGUGUGUUUUAGUUUCCAUUGUCCUAAUAAAGUUACUAUUAAAACGUUAUUGGAAAAAAAAGCAUUUUAUAUAAUAUUAAGCUUUAUAUACAUAUGGUGGAAUGGUUCAACUUUAUCACGGUUCAGUUUGUAUCACGGUUUUAUAGUCACGGUUUCGGUAUGGUGUGUGCUGUGUUUAUGGAAAAAAACAAACAGUUUAUGGACAGAAAACAUAUGUGAUAUAUGAUAUGUGAGAUGAUCUUUCUGGCACAUGAUUAGCUGCACCAGUAGUUAGACAGUGUUAAAUUCUGAUGUUAAUAUUGUAACAGCUGUAACCUCAUGUGCAUUGGGGAAUUCCAAUAUUUGAAGAGAAUAUCUGUUUCAGUACUAACGCCUGUGAUAUUCCUUGCAUGAAUGAUAUAUUAAGCAUGUAUGUGGGGUCACGAGAAUAGUACUAUGCCACUAAAAUUGCAAUCAACAAAGUAAACUAUUUAAAAGUAAACUAUUUAAAAGAAAUUAAAAGUAAUUUCUACAUAUACUAAUAUAUUUACAUUUCAA
ensembl:lncRNA